rnacentral:rRNA from 1 species
UGGGGAAUAUUGGACAAUGGGCGAAAGCCUGAUCCAGCCAUGCCGCGUGUGUGAAGAAGGUCUUCGGAUUGUAAAGCACUUUAAGUUGGGAGGAAGGGCAGUAAGCGAAUACCUUGCUGUUUUGACGUUACCGACAGAAUAGGCACCGGCUAACUCUGUGCCAGCAGCCGCGGUAAUACAGAGGGUGCAAGCGUUAAUCGGAAUUACUGGGCGUAAAGCGCGCGUAGGUGGUUCGUUAAGUUGAAUGUGAAAGCCCCGGGCUCAACCUGGGAACUGCAUCCAAAACUGGCGAGCGAGAGUAGGGCAGAGGGUGGUGGAAUUUCCUGUGUAGCGGUGAAAUGCGUAGAUAUAGGAAGGAACACCAGUGGCGAAGGCGACCACCUGGGCUCAUACUGACACUGAGGUGCGAAAGCGUGGGGAGCAAACAGG